AUUGUGAGCUCGAUGAGUAGGGCGGGACACGUGGUAUCCUGUCUGAAUAUGGGGGGACCAUCCUCCAAGGCUAAAUACUCCUGACUGACCGAUAGUGAACCAGUACCGUGAGGGAAAGGCGAAAAGAACCCCGGCGAGGGGAGUGAAAAAGAACCUGAAACCGUGUACGUACAAGCAGUGGGAGCCUCUUAAUGGGGUGACUGCGUACCUUUUGUAUAAUGGGUCAGCGACUUAUAUUCUGUAGCAAGGUUAACCGAAUAGGGGAGCCGAAGGGAAACCGAGUCUUAACUGGGCGUUAAGUUGCAGGGUAUAGACCCGAAACCCGGUGAUCUAGCCAUGGGCAGGUUGAAGGUUGGGUAACACUAACUGGAGGACCGAACCGACUAAUGUUGAAAAAUUAGCGGAUGACUUGUGGCUGGGGGUGAAAGGCCAAUCAAACCGGGAGAUAGCUGGUUCUCCCCGAAAGCUAUUUAGGUAGCGCCUCGUGAAUUCAUCUCCGGGGGUAGAGCACUGUUUCGGCAAGGGGGUCAUCCCGACUUACCAACCCGAUGCAAACUGCGAAUACCGGAGAAUGUUAUCACGGGAGACACACGGCGGGUGCUAACGUCCGUCGUGAAGAGGGAAACAACCCAGACCGCCAGCUAAGGUCCCAAAGUCAUGGUUAAGUGGGAAACGAUGUGGGAAGGCCCAGACAGCCAGGAUGUUGGCUUAGAAGCAGCCAUCAUUUAAAGAAAGCGUAAUAGCUCACUGGUCGAGUCGGCCUGCGCGGAAGAUGUAACGGGGCUAAACCAUGCACCGAAGCUGCGGCAGCGACACUAUGUGUUGUUGGGUAGGGGAGCGUUCUGUAAGCCUGUGAAGGUGGCCUGUGAGGGUUGCUGGAGGUAUCAGAAGUGCGAAUGCUGACAUAAGUAACGAUAAAGCGGGUGAAAAGCCCGCUCGCCGGAAGACCAAGGGUUCCUGUCCAACGUUAAUCGGGGCAGGGUGAGUCGACUCCUAAGGCGAGGCCGAAAGGCGUAGUCGAUGGGAAACAGGUUAAUAUUCCUGUACUUGGUGUUACUGCGAAGGGGGGACGGAGAAGGCUAUGUUGGCCGGGCGACGGUUGUCCCGGUUUAAGCGUGUAGGCUGGUUUUCCAGGCAAAUCCGGAAAACCAAGGCUGAGGCGUGAUGACGAGGCACUACGGUGCUGAAGUGACAAAUGCCCUGCUUCCAGGAAAAGCCUCUAAGCAUCAGGUAACAUCAAAUCGUACCCCAAACCGACACAGGUGGUCAGGUAGAGAAUACCAAGGCGCUUGAGAGAACUCGGGUGAAGGAACUAGGCAAAAUGGUGCCGUAACUUCGGGAGAAGGCACGCUGAUAUGUAGGUGAAGCGACUUGCUCGUGGAGCUGAAAUCAGUCGAAGAUACCAGCUGGCUGCAACUGUUUAUUAAAAACACAGCACUGUGCAAACACGAAAGUGGACGUAUACGGUGUGACGCCUGCCCGGUGCCGGAAGGUUAAUUGAUGGGGUUAGCGGUAACGCGAAGCUCUUGAUCGAAGCCCCGGUAAACGGCGGCCGUAACUAUAACGGUCCUAAGGUAGCGAAAUUCCUUGUCGGGUAAGUUCCGACCUGCACGAAUGGCGUAAUGAUGGCCAGGCUGUCUCCACCCGAGACUCAGUGAAAUUGAACUCGCUGUGAAGAUGCAGUGUACCCGCGGCAAGACGGAAAGACCCCGUGAACCUUUACUAUAGCUUGACACUGAACAUUGAGCCUUGAUGUGUAGGAUAGGUGGGAGGCUUUGAAGUGUGGACGCCAGUCUGCAUGGAGCCGACCUUGAAAUACCACCCUUUAAUGUUUGAUGUUCUAACGUUGGCCCGUAAUCCGGGUUGCGGACAGUGUCUGGUGGGUAGUUUGACUGGGGCGGUCUCCUCCUAAAGAGUAACGGAGGAGCACGAAGGUUGGCUAAUCCUGGUCGGACAUCAGGAGGUUAGUGCAAUGGCAUAAGCCAGCUUGACUGCGAGCGUGACGGCGCGAGCAGGUGCGAAAGCAGGUCAUAGUGAUCCGGUGGUUCUGAAUGGAAGGGCCAUCGCUCAACGGAUAAAAGGUACUCCGGGGAUAACAGGCUGAUACCGCCCAAGAGUUCAUAUCGACGGCGGUGUUUGGCACCUCGAUGUCGGCUCAUCACAUCCUGGGGCUGAAGUAGGUCCCAAGGGUAUGGCUGUUCGCCAUUUAAAGUGGUACGCGAGCUGGGUUUAGAACGUCGUGAGACAGUUCGGUCCCUAUCUGCCGUGGGCGCUGGAGAACUGAGGGGGGCUGCUCCUAGUACGAGAGGACCGGAGUGGACGCAUCACUGGUGUUCGGGUUGUCAUGCCAAUGGCACUGCCCGGUAGCUAAAUGCGGAAGAGAUAAGUGCUGAAAGCAUCUAAGCACGAAACUUGCCCCGAGAUGAGUUCUCCCUGAGACUUAGAGUCUCCUGAAGGAACGUUGAAGACGACGACGUUGAUAGGCCGGGUGUGUAAGCGCAGCGAUGCGUUGAGCUAACCGGUACUAAUGAACCGUGAGGCUUAACCUU
rnacentral:rRNA from 1 species